rnacentral:rRNA from 1 species
UACGGGGGGAGCAAGCGUUGUUCGGAUUUACUGGGCGUAAAGGGCGCGUAGGCGGCCACCGCAAGUCGACUGUGAAAUCUCCGGGCUUAACCCGGAAAGGUCAGCCGAUACUGCGGGGCUAGAGUGCAGAAGGGGCAACUGGAAUUCUCGGUGUAGCAGUGAAAUGCGUAGAUAUCAUGAGGAAUACCAGAGGCGAAGGCGGCUCCCUGGACAAUUGCUGACACUCAGGCACGAAAGCGUGGGGAGCAAACAGG